rnacentral:rRNA from 1 species
UACGUAGGGGGCAAGCGUUACUCGGAUUUAUUGGGCGUAAAGCGAAUGUAGGCGGUUUGGUAAGUCAGAGGUGAAAUCCCUCAGCUUAACUGAGGAAGUGCCUUUGAUACUGCUAAACUUGAGGACAGGAGAGGAAAGUGGAAUUCCCGGUGUAGCGGUGGAAUGCGUAGAUAUCGGGAGGAACACCAGAGGCGAAGGCGGCUUUCUGGACUGAUCCUGACGCUGAGAUUCGAAAGCCAGGGGAGCAAACAGGAUUAGAUACCCCUGUA